GUUAGGAAUAUUGGACAAUGGGCGCAAGCCUGAUCCAGCCAUGCCGCGUGAGUGAUGAAGGCCUUCGGGUUGUAAAGCUCUUUAUUCCACGAAUAUAAUGACUGUAGUGGAAGAAUAAGCCCCGGCUAACUUCGUGCCAGCAGCCGCGGUAAUACGAAAGGGGCUAGCGUUAUUCGGAAUCACUGGGCGUAAAGCGUGCGUAGGCUGUUUUGUAAGUCAGAAGUGAAAGCACAGGGCUUAACCCUGGAAUUGCUUUUGACACUACAAGAGUCGAAUUCGGAUGAGGAUAGCGGAAUGUGCAGUGUAGCAGUGAAAUGCGUAGAUAUGGACAGGAACACCAGUUGCGCAAGCGGCUAUCUGGACUGAUACUGACGCUGAGGCACGAAAGCGUUGGGAGCAAACAGGAUUAGAAACCCGUGUAGUCC
rnacentral:rRNA from 1 species